GGAAUCCACACAACUCUCACUGGUGACCUUUAGCACUUCGCCCGAGAGGAUAAAUUGCUUUUGUAAAUACUAUGGUAAAAACAAUGUCUCAUGACUUUCAGAAUGGUAAAAAGCUGCUAAAUAAGCAUCGCCAGAUCGUGUUUUCCUUCCCUUGCAUUGAACAACCAACUUGUUCGAAAUACAAAAGGCGCAUUUUCGACCCCAGAUCCUUCGCUUUCUUAACUGCUCGCGCCAUGCACAAAUGAGAAGAGCUCUGGGGUCGAGAAUGCUACAGGCGCGGUUACAGAGUUGUUCAUAAGACUUGACGCAUGCGUAAGCUCAGUAAACAUCGGCAAAAUCCAAGAUGGCGAUUUUGUCUGGCUGUCACUCCGAGGCACUGUUGUCGUGAACAUUUAUAAAGUUCUGUUCGCCCUCACGAGCUGAAAAAUGCAGAAUAGGAGAACGUUACAUCAGACUUUACAACAGAGGGUUUACGGUGGCUUUCCACCUGGCGCCAUAUUGAAGAGGGCUCGAGGAAGUAAAUAUCUAGUGCAGUGCUUGCAGAAAGAAACCAUUUUGACUGGACACGAGGGCUGUGUAAGUUUGGGGUGUACUUUGUGUUGUGUCUUGAAGUUAAUAAUGCACCUCUUCAAGAUUUUAACUGGAUUGGCCUCCAGUUGUUGAUGAAUCGAUGCCCACCUUAGUAUUAGAGAAAAUCAAUAAUAAUUGCUGGAUCAAGGGUGCAUUUUUUUUUUCAGCAAAUUUGGAAGUCCUCAAAUAAAUUUGCAAUAAAUAUGUGAAAUAUUAUUUACCGACUAAAUUUUAAGCUCCUAGUCCUGCCAGGAGGUUGUACACCUUGGGAGAAACGUGUACUGUAGAACUUUGCAGAAAAUGCCCCCCAUGGGAGGAAUUUUUUUUUUGGUCUGCUAGAAUCCCCCAUCCCCCUGGAAUUUUUAAUCCCAUUUGUGGGGAGUGGGUAUGAGGUUUUAACAAUAACAAUAGUUAUAUUUUCUGGAACUGCACAAUACAUGUAGAAGGAAUCCUGGCUAAUUGGCUAGUCGCUUUAUCAUACAAUGCACUUCAUCAUAAAUAUGUCAAUCUUAGCAGGCAUGCAGUGCCAAGAAAGUGAGAUGUAAUAUUACAUGUACGAUCUUUUAUCAUUAGCUUUCAGAGCUAGAGGUGACAGGCAAACAUCAACAUUACUGUUGUUAGAUCAAACUUUACUGAUAUUUUUAGGCUUACAAUGUAGUUAAUUUCAUGAGGGCCAUUCCCAAGUCUCCAUUUGAUAUCCACACUGUCACAUCACAUGUUGACAAAGUCACUGUAAAUCUAAAGCCUUUUUAAACUCAUCACAAAUAGAGCAAAGCAGUGCAACUGAUCCACAACAAUCAGCAGAAUAUACUACAACAAUUAUGCAAUGAACCAUAAACCCUUGCAAAACCCCUGAAGGCCACCCCACAGGUCACGUACUCCGCUGGCUGCAUAAGCUCAUAUAUAACUUGCCUAAAUGAUUUUAGCUGGAUGGGCAUGCUAGCUGGCUGCAUUAGCUCGAGUUUAACCUUGCCUAAAUGAUAUUUAGCCACAUGAAA